rnacentral:tRNA from 1 species
GACGAGGUGGCCGAGUGGUUAAGGCGAUGGACUGCUAAUCCAUUGUGCUCUGGCACGCCGUGGGUUCGAAUCCCAUCCUCGUCG